UAUUUAACCCUGCUGACCAAAGUUACUAUACCACGAAGCUAAAAUGAUCUCUUGUAGAAUUUUACUGAAUGUUAUGUAAAUAUAACUUAUCAUUUUCCUUUCUGUAAGUCUUUAUAAUCAGAUGACCAUUUCGGCCUGUUAGCCUAAAAGCCUAAUAACUUGAGUAUAGAUCUUGUUUUUGAAAAUCGAAAUAAGGUGGUAAUCUUUCCGAAAGCAAACUAGCCUUGAGGUUUGAUUUUGGGUAAUUGGUUAUUCAGACGAAGUUAUUAUAAUGUUUUGAUAAACAUGAUCAUGAAUAUGGUCUAGAGUAAUUCCAUCUCGCUUUGCGAGGUAUAACAAACCUGUGUGCUCGAUUUUAAGACUUCCGAUGAGGCUUUUCAGUAUUUAGCUCACCUGUUUCGAAGAACCGUAAUGAACUGAUGCCAUUGCAGAGCGUCUUUCUCUAUAAGAUUUUCCUUAGUAUUAAUACUUGUAAUUAGUGACUUGAUGGAUAAUGACCAUAUUCUUGCAGGAAAACGAUUUCGCGGCCCCAAGGGGUCUGAUAGGUGGGGCACAGUAGGAGAAAUAUAUCAAAUUAUUGUUCUGUAGUACCCAAUUUGCAUAAACAAAGUCUUGGCGCCAAUGAGGGAUAUAGGUCCUCUAGACCUCUCUUCUAUAUAAAAUAUAUAUAUGAGUCAUUUGCUGUCAACAUGGAAGUGACCAGUCACUUACUGGCUACCUAAUGUGCCUAGCAUCGUUAUAACAAUCCGAAUCUACCUCUCCUAUACCCCAAAUAGACAUACUCACACACCCUCUCACAAUCACACUCUCAUCCUCAUACACACUCACACACACACCAACAACCACUCAACAACCCUCAUUAGUUCAAACGCCCACAUGUGACCAUCACAAUAUACUACUUUACACCUGAUUAUAUUUCGGUUGAUGGGGUAUAAAUUACAAUGUCAUUAUGAAAAUUAUGAAAUAAUUUUGAAAUAAAUUUUACUUAUAUUUCAGAUGAUCAGACUACAGAAGGGCCAAACAGUAAUGACACUACAGAUGAGCCAAACAGUCAUGACAUCACAGAGGAGCCAAAAAGUGAUGACAUUACAGAGGAGCGAAAAUAUGAUGAUACUGCAGAAGAGCAGAUACGUGAUUCUUCUGAUAUUAUUUAUGUUGUCAUUGGUCUCAGUGUUUUGAUGGGAGUCUCAUGGAUGGUGAUGGUUAUAAUAGUCAUGAGGUCCAGGAACUGGAGAAGAAACAGACAGGGAGGUAUGCGGAAUAUAGCUGGUCAAAGAGCUCAAGUUGCUCUGACUAUCCCCCUCGGGAGCAUUCAAAGAAACUGAAAAUGCCAUGGACUUUCCGGAAUUCUGAAACGGUGUAGGUUCGUCAUACAUGGCUGUAUCACUUUUUAUUAGUUUCAAUCGAACGUCUUUUAAGACACAUAUUCAACGGUGAAUAUCCAAAACUAAGAACAAUUAAACAUGUGUCUGAUUUUUAGAACGGAUGGACCGAAGGGCCGGUGAGCUUAUGCCAUGGUGCAGUGUCCGUCGUCCGUCAACACUUCCUUCAAAUUGCUACUUGUCCUUAACGACUGAGUUGAUUUCGAUGAAAUUUGACCUGGAACAUUAUUUGGAAAAACGAGAUAUAAUGUUUUAUAAACAAGGGUGUGACUGCCCUGGGCAUGAGGGACGGGACCCGAUAUGGGGAAAUGAUGGAAUUCGGUCUGAAUCAUUAAUCGGAAUAGAUCUCUAAUGCUGUAGUAACAAAGGGUGUGACUUUCCUGAUGCCGGAAGGGCGGGGCCCGAUAGAAGAACUAAUACCAACCCUUCAAAUCACUACUAGUCAUGAACAACUGAAUCGAUUUUGAUGUAAUUUUGUCUGAAACAACAUUUGGCAGAGAGGGUCUAAUGUUUUAUAAACAAAAGGGCAUGGCUCCCUUGGGUCUAAAUAGGGGAAAUAAAUUUUAAUCCUCAAUCCUUUGAUCGCUACUAGUCAUGAACUACUUAAUUGAUUUUGAUGAAAUUUCGUCUUGAGCAUCGUAUUAUUGUGCAGAAGAGAUUCAAUGUUGUAUAAAAAGGGGUGUGGUUCCCCUGGGUCGCGCGGGUAGAGCCAAAUAGGGAAAUUUAAAGGAAAAUGCUUUAAAUCCCUUCUAGUCCCUGAACGAAUGAAUACGUUUUGAUGGUCUGGAGGAUAAUUGGGAAAGGAGGUCCAAUUAUGUAUAAACAAAUGGUGUGGCUUCCCUGGGAACAGAUGGGUGGGCUCAAUAGGGGAAAUUAAUGUAAAUCUUUUGAAUUGUUACUUGUCAUAAACGACUGAAUUAAUUUUGAUGAAAUGGUCUUGAACAUUAUCUGGCAAAGGAGAUCCAAUGUUGUAUAAUCGGAGGGUGUGAUUGCCCUGCGGCCGGAGGGGCAGGGGCCAAUAAGGGAAAUAUAAGUAAAUGCCUAAAUUACUACUAGUCCUGGAUGGAAUUUGAUGAAUGUUUUGGGAUCAUUAUAAGGGGAAGGACAUCCUUUGUUGUAUAAAUAGAGGGUGUGGCUCCCCCGAGGCGAAAUGGACCGGGUCUUACAUGGAUAUUAGAGGUAAAUGCUUUUUAUCGCUACUAGUCAUGAACGACUGAAUGGAAUUUCAUGAAAUUUUAUCUGUAUCAUUAUUGGACAAAGCAGAUCCAAUGUUGUAUAAACAGAAGAUAUAAUUUCCCUGGGAGGAGCCCAAUAGGCGAAAUAUAGCCAAAACAAAGACAUUGUUGGAGGAGACAGUUAAAAAAAGGAAAUAUUUCUAACAUAACUUACAUGAGAGUGUCUUUCCAUGAUUACUCGAAUAUCCAGGUGAACAGGUAAACUACGUUUAUAGUUCACAGAAAAACUGUGUAAUUCUAACAAAUUUAGGGACAAAAUCAAAAUAAUGACAUGAAUAAAAUCGUCUACAAUGAA